CAGAAGAUCAGAACUAAUCUAUCAUUCUCGUGGGCCUUGAUGCUAUUUGGGCCCACGAUAACCUAGCCCAGCCCAGCGUGGUUGUUCCGAGGCCGGCCCCUUCCGCUCACUCUUGGUCUGCUACUCUGCUGGCUCUCGUCUCCCUCCCUCGCAGCCAAGAACAGCUUCCAGAAUCCAGAAUCAAGAUCGAUCUGACCGAGGCCGCCACGGCGGCGCGUCCCUGAGAAAACUUUUGCCACCUCGCCAUACUCUCCUCCUCGCCGGCACUUCCCCAUUGCUUGCUUAGGCGUCGCCGUCCGGUGCGCCGGCCACGAUGCAACCGGCGCUGCUCCGUCGGCGGUUGCGCAUCGAGGCACGUCGCCGUACUCCGCCCCACGCUUGCGAGACUUGAGGACAGAAGAGGGAGCCACAGCGGAGCUGGAGAGGCGGCGGACGCUUGAGGUACAAAUUUUGGGCAUUGGACAUUGAUUCCCUUGAGCAUUCGUACCCUGCUAUGACAAUAUAUAUAUAUCACAGUGGACAAGAAGAGAUUUGCUAAUAUUACUGAAUGUCUUCUA